rnacentral:tRNA from 1 species
GAGAGGUGGCAGAGCGGUUGAAUGCACUAGUCUUGAAAACUAGCAAGGGGGCAACUCCUUCGAGGGUUCGAAUCCCUCCCUCUCC